UCCGGUCAUAUCAGGUUCAAACACUAGUUCCCGUGCGAUCACUGAAGUUAAGCAACCUCGAACCUGGUCAGUACCUUGAUGGUUGACUGCUUGGGAAUGUCAGGUGCUAUAA